rnacentral:rRNA from 1 species
CAGCCGCCGCGGUAAUACGAAGGGUGCAAGCGUUAAUCGGAAUUACUGGGCGUAAAGCGCACGCAGGCGGUUUGUUAAGUCAGAUGUGAAAUCCCCGAGCUUAACUUGGGAACUGCAUUUGAAACUGGCAAGCUAGAGUCUUGUAGAGGGGGGUGGAAUUCCACGUGUAGCAGUGAAAUGCGUAGAGAUGUGGAGGAACACCGAUGGCGAAGGCAGCCACCUGGUCCACUUCUGACGCUGAGGCGCGAAAGCGUGGGGAGCAAACCGGAUUAGAGACCCGCGUAGUCCCUGUCUCUUAUAC